rnacentral:rRNA from 1 species
UACGUAGGUCCCGAGCGUUGUCCGGAUUUAUUGGGCGUAAAGCGAGCGCAGGUGGUUUAUUAAGUCUGGUGUAAAAGGCAGUGGCUCAACCAUUGUAUGCAUUGGAAGCUGGUAGACUUGAGUGCAGGAGAGGAGAGUGGAAUUCCACGUGUAGCGGUGAAAUGCGUAGAUAUAUGGAGGAACACCGGUGGCGAAAGCGGCUCUCUGGCCUGUAACUGACACUGAGGCUCGAAGGCGUGGGGAGCAAACAGG